UACGUAGGGACCGAGCGUUGUCCGGAAUCAUUGGGCGUAAAGAGCUUGUAGGCGGUUUGUCGCGUCUGCUGUGAAAAUCCGGGGCUCAACCCCGGACUUGCAGUGGAUACGGGCAGACUAGAGUUCGGUAGGGGAGUCUGGAAUUCCUGGUGUAGCGGUGAAAUGCGCAGAUAUCAGGAGGAACACCGGUGGCGAAGGCGGGACUCUGGGCCGAUACUGACGCUGAGGAGCGAAAGCGUGGGGAGCAAACAGG
rnacentral:rRNA from 1 species